rnacentral:rRNA from 1 species
AUUGAACGCUGGCGGCAGGCUUAACACAUGCAAGUCGAGCGGAGAUGAGGUGCUUGCACCUUAUCUUAGCGGCGGACGGGUGAGUAAUGCUUAGGAAUCUGCCUAUUAGUGGGGGACAACAUUCCGAAAGGAAUGCUAAUACCGCAUACGCCCUACGGGAGAAAGCAGGGGAUCUUCGGACCUUGCGCUAAUAGAUGAGCCUAAGUCGAUUAGCUAGUUGGUGGGGUAAAGGCCUACCAAGGCGACGAUCUGCAGCGGGUCUGAGAGGAUGACCCGCCACACUGGGACUGAGACACGGCCCAGACUCCGACGGGAGGCAGCAGUGGGGAAGAUUGGACAAUGGGGGGAACCCUGGUCCAGCCAUGCCGCGUGUGUGAAGAAGGCCUUAUGGUUGUAAAGCACUUUAAGCGAGGAGGAGGCUACUGAGACUAAUACUCUUGGAUAGUGGACGUUACUCGCAGAAUAAGCACCGGCUAACUCUGUGCCAGCCGCCGCCGUAA